rfam:Felis catus isolate Cinnamon breed Abyssinian chromosome D4, whole genome shotgun sequence.
GCCUGGGUGGCUCAGUCGGUUGAGCACCUGACUUCGACUCAGGUCAUGAUCUCACACUCAUGGGUUUGAGCCCCGUGUCGGGCU